UAGGGAUAAAAUAAACACUUUAUUGAUAGAAAUUGUUUCAAAUCGAAAUUACAGAGUCUGUUAAAAUGCGUUUGUGUUUAUAGUACAUAUUUCGAAUAUGUUCCAACUCUGGUUAGGACUUCCUGAACCCAUUUCUGAGGGGUUUGCGUCUUAAAGAUGAUCUCAUUCAAAUCUUGAGCCGGAAUAUUUUUCAAUAUUCUCAGGUUAAGCAUAAAAUGUUGCAGGAUUUGUGAAUAAAGGGAUCAAAUAAUUUAAAUAAGUGUUUCUAAGGAACACGUUCCUUAAAGCUCAAAAAAAAAAAUGGCUGGAGUAAUGCAAUGCAUGGACAAAGGCAUGCUUUUAUUGCACUGGUAUUACAAUGAUUUAAAAGAAUAUAUUUAUUUAUAUUUAAAAAAGCAUUUGAAAGCUUUUUUCCAUAGGAAAGCACAAUACUGGCACAAUUAUUUUCACAUUGUUUACAGUCGUUGUUUUGGCCUUGCUGAAAAUAAUUAAUAACAAUAACACAGAGAGUACAAAAAAAUGGCAUUUGUUUUUUCCCAGCAGGUGGAGUUUACUAUCAGCCCAGACAGGGAAUUAAAUUAGAUGCCAGCCUUGUUUAUGUGCUUCGGAGUGGGUGGUGGUCUUCUUUGUAAUCAUCGGGUUUUACCUCAUCGCUGAUAUGCCUGCUGGCGAACAGCCUCCUCAGAGCAUGCCAGAACCAGUCUCACCGAGGUUGCUCUUGUCCGCCAUGUAUGGACCUUCAGCUGCAGAGCCUUCGUAACCACCAGAACCUUCCUCGCCCAGGAAUAUCCCAGGUGACUCGCUCAGUUUCGAUUCCUCCUCCUCUACCUCCUCCUCGUCUUCCUGCUCGUCCUCAUCGUUCUCCUCCAUUGGUGAAUUCUCAUCCUCCACAGGCUCUGCUUCCCUGAAAACACAUAAGAAGUGAGAUAGAGAGAUUAGCUGAUAAGUGUCUCAUCUUUCUCUUUCUGCUGCUCCUUUUACGGGUCGCCGCAACAGAUCAUCUGCCUCCACACGUCUAAACCAUCUCAGCCUUCCUGCAUUUACUUUGUCUCCCAACUGUUCUCCCUGAGCUUUCCCUCUGAUGUACUCCUUUCUAAUCCUGCCCAAUGAAAACCUUCACCUCUUGAGCUCCUCCUCCUGUUUUUUUUGUUAGUGCCAGCAUCUCCAAAACAUAUAUAAUAGUAGGUCUCUCUACUUUUUGGUAAGCCUUCUCUUUUGCUCUUGCGGCUGUCUUUCCAUCUCCAAAAUUUGCUCUGAUAUGAGACUUUAAUAUUUGUUUAAUAUUUG
ensembl:lncRNA